rnacentral:rRNA from 1 species
UACAGAGGAGCCAAGCGUUGUCCGGAUUCACUGGGUUUAAAGGGUGCGUAGGCGGGCAGGUAAGUCCGUGGUGAAAUCUCUGAGCUUAACUCAGAAACUGCCAUGGAUACUAUUUGUCUUGAAUGUUGUGGAGGUAAGCGGAAUAUGUCAUGUAGCGGUGAAAUGCUUAGAUAUGACAUAGGACACCAAUUGCGAAGGCAGCUUACUACACAAAUAUUGACGCUGAGGCACGAGAGCGUGGGGAUCAAACAGG